GACGAACGCUGGCGGCGUGCUUAACACAUGCAAGUCGAACGCUGAAGCUCAGCUUUUGUUGGGUGGAUGAGUGGCGAACGGGUGAGUAACACGUGAGUAACCUGCCUCCUUCUUUGGGAUAACGCCCGGAAACGGGUGCUAAUACUGGAUAUUCACUGGUCUUCGCAUGGGGGUUGGUGGAAAGGGUCUUUCUGGUGGGGGAUGGGCUCGCGGCCUAUCAGCUUGUUGGUGGGGUGAUGGCCUACCAAGGCUUUGACGGGUAGCCGGCCUGAGAGGGGGACCGGUCGCAUUGGGACUGAGAUACGGCCCAGACUCCGACGGGGGGCAGCAGUGGGGAAUAUUGCGCGAUGGGCGCAAGCCUGAUGCAGCGACGGCGCGUGAGGGAUGGAGGCCUGCGGGUUGGGAACCUCUUUCGCUCAUGGUCAAGCCGCAACAAUGGUUGUGGUGAGGGUAGUGGGUAAAGAAGCGCCGGCUAACUACGUG
rnacentral:rRNA from 1 species